rnacentral:rRNA from 1 species
UGGGGAAUUUUGGACAAUGGGGGAAACCCUGAUCCAGCCAUUCCGCGUGAGUGAAGAAGGCCUUCGGGUUGUAAAGCUCUUUCGGCAGGAACGAAACGGUUUGGGCUAAUACCCCAGACUACUGACGGUACCUGAAGAAGAAGCACCGGCUAACUACGUGCCAGCAGCCGCGGUAAUACGUAGGGUGCGAGCGUUAAUCGGAUUUACUGGGCGUAAAGCAUGCGCAGGCGGCGACAUAAGACAGAUGUGAAAUCCCCGGGCUCAACCUGGGAACUGCACUUGAAACUACGAUGCUCGAGUAUGGCAGAGGGAGGUGGAAUUCCACGUGUAGCGGUGAAAUGCGUAGAGAUGUGGAGGAACACCGAUGGCGAAGGCAGCCUCCUGGGCCAAUACUGACGCUCAUGCACGAAAGCGUGGGGAGCAAACAGGAUUAGAUACCCCAGUAGUCCCUGAGCGGGCUGGCAAGGCGCAU